UUACAAGCAAGAAGUCUAGAUUACAGGAUGGAAACUUCACUUGAAGUCGGUUAACGGAGCUCUAAUGUGACGACGGGGGACUGGCCUCAACGUCAAUAAGAACCGAAACCCAAGGCGGCCCAAAAUUCGCAUGCGAAACACAAUGUUGGAGCGCUGAAGCACGUCGGCAGCGUUUGCUCGAAUAUGUGUCCAAGUCGCAAUAAGUUGUCCUGAAACACAAACAAUCACUUGCAAGGAUGACAAGACUGCCAAGUUUCCACCAUUUCAGCCCCUCGAAAAUAAUGAAAUCAUAUUAGUCAAUUUCCGUGACCUAAAGAAAAGAUGUUAGCCUAGAAAAUCAGACUUUCAGAAAACAGUGAUAAAAAAUUUACCUCUCCAAAUGCUGGACCAAUCAUCUGAAGGCCAACAGGCAGACCACAUGUUCCACCCUUGGCAAGGCCACAUGGAACCACAAGAGCAGGUAGUCCAGCAAGGUUCACAUUUACCUGUUCAAUACAAAAAUUGUUAAUGUUUUUUUAUCAUGAUAUAUUAAGUGAAAAUAAAUUCUAGCUCUUGAUGUCUCUUGUUCAAGGUAAGAUACACAAGCCAUUUUAUA